UACGAAGGGUGCAAGCGUUACUCGGAAUUACUGGGCGUAAAGCGUGCGUAGGUGGUUUGUUAAGUCUGAUGUGAAAGCCCUGGGCUCAACCUGGGAACUGCAUUGGAAACUGGCUGACUAGAGUGCGGUAGAGGGGUGUGGAAUUCCCGGUGUAGCAGUGAAAUGCGUAGAUAUCGGGAGGAACAUCUGUGGCGAAGGCGACACCUUGGACCAGCACUGACACUGAGGCACGAAAGCGUGGGGAGCAAACAGG
rnacentral:rRNA from 1 species